GGAAGGCGGAAGGAGGGAGCAGCCGCCGCUGCCGCGCCCCCCCCGCCUCCGGCUCGAUCUCCUGGUUCUAGGCACGCUCCGAGGCCAACGAGAGAGCGGGGCGGGAGUUUGGCCGCUCGCAGCGAUAUCUGAAACUGCCCGGGGACGCGAUGUCGCCACGGUUUUGUUUUGGUUUUUUGUUUGGUUGGUUUUAUUUCUUUUUGUUUGAACUUCAGCAAAAUUAACACUAGCUGCGUUCACAGGAUGGGUCAGGUUGGAAUAGACUCCAGUGGGCCAUCUGCUCCCAACCUCCCUGCUCAGGCAGGGUCAUCCCAGAAGCACAUGGCACAGGAUUGCGUCCAGACGGUUCUGGAAUAUCGCCAGUGAGGGAGACUCCGCACCCUCUUUGGGCAACCUGUUCCAGCGCUCGGUCGCUGCCACAGGGAAGUUCUUCCUCGCGUUCAGGUGGAACUUCCCGUGCAUCAGUUUCUGCCAUCCCGGAAUACCAGCGUUUCUGGUGUUUCGCUAUCGCUGGGGUUCGGCAUUAAGGCUUUUCGCUCUUAAGAAUUAACAAAAAUGAAAACAAAUAAAGCCAUAACACCUUAAUUUUGCCCCCAGUGAGGGUCAGCGCCUCCUGCAUCCUCCCUGACCCGCCCAAGGAGCCCCAGAACUGCACACUGUGGGGAUCACCGCCGCGAGUGGCGACAACGGGUUUAGGGAGAAAGCAGCGAGCUGCUUUAAAUUUAAUACAACAGCCACUGAAAUCCCUCUCCACUGCAGAAUCCCGCACAUUCCCACUGAGUCCCGGCGGUCCCCGGGUCCCUUGGGGGUUACCCCGCGCCCGCCAUGCGCCUCCCCUCACAAACAGAGACGGCGGCGGACGCGAACCAAACUCGCCGCCGCGCCCCCGCGGCCGCUGGGUCUGUUGACGGCGGCCCCUCCCCGCCCCGCCCGGGCGCGGUGAGGGAGCGGCGGCCGCCAUGGCCCCGCCGCCUCCCGCCCCGCGUUUCUUCGCCCCUCAGCGCUCCUGGCUCCGCUCCAGCCCUCCCGGAAACUUUUGUACCUCUGGCACAGCCGCCCCCUUCCUCCUCUGCCGCAGGCGGGAAGCGGAGCCGCGGCCGCUCGCCCGUCCGUCCCCUCCCACAGCCGAGCCCGGCAGCGAACGUCCCAUCUUUGGGCUUUUCCCAGAAAUAAAGCGAUCAGUUCCUUGCCAGCAAACGGCCCCAGGGACCCGGACUCCCCCCUCGGAUAAGGACAGGGAGUCCCUGGGCAGCGAACAGGAGCGGUCCACUGGGAUAACUGACAUGGCUGUACAUCUCGCUGUGGGGUUUUUGGGAGUUGGUUUGUUGGUCUGAGAGGGGAAUAUUUGAACCCAAAGGGUAUAAAGGGUGGUUUCAGCCUCCCAGGUUGUGCGGAUUUCAGGAAUCCGCCCAGGGCACGGCAGCCUUCAGCAACUUGGCUCCAGUUCCCUAAUAACUUGUUUUUCAGACCGUUCCCCAGGUACUGUGUCCAUUUCAUGGGAUUAUCCAGCAGCAUUGGGAGGUAACUCCCAGGACAAGUUGAUGCAGCCUCCGACUUAACUUCAUUUUCCUCCUCUUAUUCCUGGGAAAGCCUUUUGUGGCUCAGCACAGACAUGUCAGACAUCCCUCAAACAGCACAGUUUCCCUAAAUUCUCACUGUGCAUCACUAGGGCAGCACCAAGCCAAGCACCUUAUGUGGGGUUUGUAUAAAUAAAUUUGGGUUUAAUCACUUUAAAGUGGUUAACCACUUUAUUGCCAUUUAUAGAUGUUAGCAAGUAUAAAAAGAUAUACAUAUCAAAGCUGUUAAGAAGAAAAUAAUGAUUUCGCCACACACACACACUGCUGCAGUUGCCAUGUGGCAAAGUAUCAGCAGCAAUGAGUAUUAGGGGUCAAACAUGCUUAAACCACAAGUGAAAUAUCCGUGAAUGCCAAUAUGGAUAUGGAAGCAUCUCCAGGGGAAAAUUACUACUGGAAAAUGAAAAAUUCCGAAAUUAAAUUAAGAGUUCAGUUACAUUUUUUUUGUAGAGAAACAUAAACAGAGCACUGAGACCAUGUCCUUGGUGGGGUUACACGACUGGGCAAAUGUUUAGAUCUAAACUGGAACUGCUGCUUCGGGGAGGGAGGGGAGUGUGGCACAAAAUAUUAUGACAAGGGGAGUGCUCUAAGUGAGGAUAAGUUGGCAUGAUGAACAGAUGGAGGAUUCAAUAACAGGAGGUUAUUAAUACUGCAGUUUGGUAUUCUCUACGCUACUUCGUGAAGGGAUUCAUAUGCUUGCUCUUUUUCCUUCCUGAUUGUACACAGACCUAACAAACACACGCACUGUAGGUAACGCCGGCACACACAUCACAAAUUCACGUUUCCUGGGAAAACAUCAUGGGCUGGGUCCUCAGCUGGUUGUAACUGGACCAACUGUGUUCCCUUCAGCAGCAGAAAGCUGAGUUGCACCUGCUGAAGGAGAGAGGUUAUCUGACCCCGGCUCCCCGGCCGAAAGGUCUCUCUGCCCUGCUCCUUGACAGCUGCCACAAGGCACCUGCUCUACAGAACAAACCGUGCAGACUCUCAGGAUGGGAAAGGACACAAAAUAACUCAAGAGCCGUUCAAGUUUUCCUUCAGAACACAAAGUAAUGUUCUUUCUGCCUAAGAAAAUCGAGCUUGCUUUCACCCUGAGUUCAGCCCUUCUCUCCUGUACGGCUGUCAGUGGCCUAGUUUUAGACUGGACAUGAGAAAAUCCAGGAGCAGACCAGCUGACUCCAGCCAAGCCUUUCACUGUCUCUCUCCUUUUUGCUUCCUACUUUCUCCAGCUCGCCUCUGGGUCACCACACAUUCAGGCAUUUCACAACUUUUACACUGUGGCUUGAACAGGUAUAACUUCCUCUGUGUGAAACUUCCCACUGUAAGACGCAAAUGCUUUCUGGCUGAUGUGAAACUCAUUUUGGAGAAACAUUUUCAACAAAUUCUGAGUGGGAAAUUGAAAAAAAAGAGUAACUGACUAAAGGGAACCACUUCAUCUCUAAGAAAUGGUGGUCAUCACAAGCAUGAAAUAAAAUAGAGGACCUUAAUCUGCUGUUUUAAAAAAUGUUUGCUGAAGGAUCAAAGUUGCAGAAUAAAGUUGCGCUUAAUGAACAAGAAGUGCGGCUGGGUCAAACAUGCAAAGUCAUUUUUGAAAUGCCAAAUGUGCAUUGCUCCCUUCUCAGAACGGAACUGCUCCAGCAGCUCUGCGCUGGAAAUACCGGCCGUACAAAAGUGACAAAGUUUAUAGUGUACUGAAUGAAUUGAAGAAUAAAUUUCCUUCAAAACCAGUGAACACAAAAAACCUCUCUCCUCAGAUGUUAUCUGUAUUAAGUGACUAAGAGAUUUUCUUCUUGAUCUUACCCUCUUCAUACAUGUGAUAAAAACACAAGAACUAGGGUGGAAUUAAAUCCGCUGCAUUUUCUGGUUGUCGUGAAAUGAGAGGUAUUAUUUUCCAUCUAGUCAGGAGGAGUUAACAGACAUUUCCAGGAAGGUCUGUGUUCUGGCUGAAGAGAGAAAGAAGAUAGAGAUGAACAGCAGAAGAAACUAUCGAGAACCAUUAGUGGAUGUCAGCCAUUGUCCAUCUGUUCACAGUGGAAUAAAUCCAGACCUGAAGGAACAACUGCAACCUGCCCCAUAUGGCUCCUUCCCUUCUGCGCUGGCAGGGCUUCUUUGGGGAUUUGACAUUGGAUGAGGUAAAGGAGAAGCGGCACAAUCUGUGUUCCCAGGGACAAACAGCCAAUUAACAUGAAAGGACAAAAAGUGGGUUAGUGACCCAGGGAAGGUUUCCUCCUUCUCACCUGCCUGAAAUCUUGGAGCUCAUUCAGACUGUAAGUUGCACAGAUACUGUGCUGAGGCUCCUGCUGCUAAUGAAACCUUAAAAAUUUACCUCUACCUACUAACAAAAUCCUCAGUAGGCGAGUGAGACCACUGAUCCAGCUGUCUCCCAAGGUGUUAAAGAAGGCAUUUAGAAUAUAUUAUAUUCACAUUCCAUUAAAAAUUAUAAUGCAUCGUGCUUUCAACAUAAUGAACCAGCAUAACAACAUUCUGCAUUUACUUUUAUAGAACUAGAUUAUUGAGUAGUAAUUUACUUCUCAAGUUUUAAAUCAGUCUGGGCCUUGUCAUGAAGCAAAGUACUAUUUUUUAGAUGAUUAAGGGAAGUAGGCUCCGACCUAUGCAGAGUAGUUAUGACGUCUGGCUGUCUCUUUAAAAUUAUAAGGAGACCCAGAUACUCUUUAUGAUGCUGCAUUCUGCAUGCAAAGAAACAGAUCUACAUAUUAAGGCCAACUGAAGGGAUCAAAACCCACAGGUCUGUAGUAGAUUCAAUAACCUGUUUGGUGGUAGUAAUUUCACAGGUAAUAUGGAGAAUAAUGAACCAUCCAGUGGCCUAAGCAGAACCAGUGGAUGUCCUGAGUAAACUUGCUACUGUGGGUGUAUCUUCAGGGCAGUCUGCUGAGAAAAUCAACAACUGCAGAAAACCAAACUCAGGAGGUACCUUCACCUACGUGGAUUCAAGGGUAGGACACUUGCCUACACCACUUCCAGAAGAAAGGAGAGAUGGAUCUCUCUUCGGCUGGAUCUCUGCUCUAGCUCUGAAGCCACAAGCAGUUCAGAUUUGCCAGUGUUACUCCAAAUAUAAGGUGAUUAUCUGCUUAGAAGAGGGAUUAAUUAUUCUGGCCUGGCCCCAUGCUAAAGCAGCAGUGGGGCAUCUCUAGGAGAUGCUGUAUGCUCAUACCCAUUUGGACUGGUAGGAAGCUGGUGCUCUCUGGGCUACAAUUUGCACUCCACCUCCUCUUUAGUUCUAACACACUUGGCAUCUUAUUUUUGUCAAAGUUGCACAACAAGUAUUCAGGAAAAAAAAAGCAAUAGUUGUAUCAGAGAUAGUUUUCAAGUUCCCAAACAAUUAUAUUUGCAUUUAUGAAUGUCAUUCAUUCACUAGGUGGCAGAGAGAGCAUCCUACUUCCUCGUUUGAAACAUGCACCACAAAACUGAGGGUGCCCUCAGGAAAAAUACAGACAGGUAUGAAAUCAAAGCAAAAUUUCUAAGCAUUUAGCUGGAGACUUUGCUCUGAAACUACCCAUGAAGCUUACCCAUCUGAAAAACUAGCAUGGAUAUUAAAGGAUGCAAAAAGCAAAACAGUGUUACAUGAAAAUGUCCAUUUUCUGCCAAGGACCUUGAGCAUGACACGCAGCAGGAUUAUAUGCAUUUAUGACAUUGAAAUGAACUCUCUUGCUUUGUCAAAUUUACUUGGGAUGAUGACAAGUUGUCAGGCUUGAAUUUCAUCCUCUUCCAAACUGAACACUGCUUUGUACCCUCAUGAAAUACUGCACUACCAGCACUCCACUAUCACCUACCGCUAAGAUAAGAGAGUGGUUCACUACUGAGCAAAAAGUGACCUCUAGUGAAUCCUGAGAUUUCUAGUUCCUGAGACACACGACAUCCCCCUGGCAGCCCCCUGCCUGUCCCUGACUGAUCACAUCUAUGUACAACUAAAAUCUGAUAAUGCUACACCCUGACACCACUCAGCAGCUGCAUUCCACCCAUCAAGCACUUCAGGUACCUUCAGUAACUCUCACUGUGAGCAGCAGCUAUAGUAAGGACAUUUGAAAACAUCUGCAUAUUGAAAAAACCUGCACACGUUUGUUUAAACACAAUAAAAUCUGCCUAUUGAAUAAUGUUAGAUAAUUCAAUGGACUAUAAUAAAAAGUGCAAGCUCA